CCUACGGGUGGCAGCAGUGAGGAAUAUUGGUCAAUGGCCGGAAGGCUGAACCAGCCAAGCCGCGUGAAGGACGGAGGUGCCAAGCAUUUUAAACUUCUUUUGUCAAGGGACAAAAUCAGGCUCGAGAGCCUGACCGAGGGUACUUGAAGAAAAAGCAUCGGCUAACUCCGUGCCAGCAGCCGCGGUAAUACGGAGGAUUCAAGCGUUAUCCCGAUUUCUUGGGUUUAAAGGGUGCGUAGGCGGUCGGAUAAGUUAGAGGUGAAAUCCCGAGGCUCAACUUCGGAAUUGCUGCUGAUACUGUGCGGCUAGAGAGUAGGUGCGGUAGGCGGAAUGUAUGGUGGAGAGGUGAAAUGCUUAGAGAUCAUACAGAACACCGAUGGCGAAGGCAGCUUACCAAGCUACUGCUGACGUUGAGGCACGAAAGCGUGGGGAGCAAACAGGAUUAGAUACCCUUGUAGUC
rnacentral:rRNA from 1 species